GUGCCAGCAGCCGCGGUAAUACCGGCAGCCCGAGUGAUGGCCGAUCUUAUUGGGCCUAAAGCGUCCGUAGCUGGCCGACCAAGUCUCCCGGGAAAUCCACCCGCCCAACGGGUGGGCGUCCGGUAGAAACUGGCCGGCUUGGAACCGGAAGGCUCGAGAGGUACGUCCGGGGUAGGAGUGAAAUCCCGUAAUCCCGAACGGACCACCGAUGGCGAAAGCAUCUCGAGAAAACGGAUCCGACAGUGAGGGACGAAAGCUAGGGUCUCGAACCGGAUUAGAAACCCCGGUAGUCC
rnacentral:rRNA from 1 species